GGGUGAUUGGCGAGUGAGUGCAGGGCUGACACAGAUUCAUGGACCAUUUAAACCACGGAUGCUGUGUGAACAUAUCCUUUCAAAGCGUACUGCAAAGUUCACGAAUGGUCAAACCAACAGCUCCAUAGUGGACAGUGCGUCAGCUUAAAGGAUCCCCUCUAGACUUCAUGAGUCCUGAGGAGUGUCCAUACAACAUCCACAUGGUUUAUGGCUAUUCUCUGGUAUGCUUUUGUUAGCAUGGCAGUAGCCUUUCUCAGCAGGCAUGUCAACACUCACCGUGAUCCAUUUGUUGUGGUAACUAGAUAAUGGAAAACAAUCAGCUAGGCUGAACUCAGAUCAGUACCAUUUUGCCUUGUGGGAGCUGGCUGUGAUGGAGAUUGUAGAAUUGGCAGCAAUUGUGCUGCUUUGGUUUUAAUUAUGCAUGCACUCAUAACAUCCCACACCCUACAUGUUGCUUUCAUAGUUCAUUAUUGUAAUGUAAUAAAGUGCAUUACUGUAAAUAACAUUACACAGGGUUUUAAUAUGUCAUUUGUUAGCGUCCAAUAUGUCUUCAUAAUUGUGAAUGUGAAUACGAAAGGCAUUGUUGGAUUGUGAUUUCUAUGGUAUGAGGUGCUGUCUUCUGCUCAUUCCUUUUUUUUCCAUAGAUUAUUUUGGCUGAGUCAGUGUGUGAGUUGAUCUCCCAAGGUCAAGCCAAUGAGAUCACAGUUUUAAAAGUAAAUUAUUCUCAUCUGCACAAAUAGGACGAUCUAGUGCUGCUCGUCAUGUACACCCCUGAGGUAAUGGUAAAGGAAAAAGUUCAACA